rnacentral:rRNA from 1 species
GAGUUUGAUCGUGGCUCAGGAUGAACGCUGGCGGCGUGCCUAACACAUGCAAGUCGAACGAAGCACUAGGAAGUUUUCGGACAGAAUAGUGACUGAGUGGCGGACGGGUGAGUAACGCGUGGGUAACCUGCCUCAUACAGGGGGAUAACAGUUAGAAAUGACUGCUAAUACCGCAUAAGACCACAGGACCGCAUGGUCCAGUGGGAAAAACUCCGGUGGUAUGAGAUGGACCCGCGUCUGAUUAGGUAGUUGGUGGGUAACGGCCUACCAAGCCGACGA